rnacentral:rRNA from 1 species
AUACGAAAGGUGCGAGCGUUGUUCGGAUUUACUGGGCGUAAAGCGAGUGUAGGUGGUUUGUUAAGUCGGAUGUGAAAUCCCGGGGCUCAACCUCGGAACUGCAUUCGAUACUGGCAGGCUAGAGUUCGGGAGGGGUAAGCGGAAUUCCGUGUGUAGCAGUGAAAUGCGUAGAUAUACGGAGGAACACCUGAGGCGAAGGCGGCUUACUGGGCCGAUACUGACACUGAGACUCGAAAGCGUGGGUAGCAAACAGGAUUAGAAACCCUAGUAGUCC